UUUCCGGAGGUUUCGUUCUGUUUCUGUUGUGGUAGUCUUCUUUGUUGGCAAUUGGUUUCUCCUCCUUGGUGUUGGUUUCUGUGUUUGAUAGCUUCCUCCUUCUUUCGUCGUGCUUGUUCUCGAUGAAGGUUCUCGAGAGGUUAGGCUUCACUCCUUGUACUUGCUUCAGAUCUUUUCUGUUAGCCUUUUGAAGGCUUCUAACUAGACGCAAUUAGACGCCUCAGUCGUCGUCGUCGCAUCCGGAAGCGUUUUCGAGUUUCUUCUUGUGGUUUGGCUUGCCGGGUUAUGAAGUCCUAGUUUCUGGUUUCGAGAGAUUGGCUCUCUUCAUGAUAGGAGGUGGCGGAUGUUAUUUCGGGUUGGCCGUGGGCAGCCGUAGUAAAUCUCUUCGCAGGUGCAAUUGAGGAGGAGUUUUUCUUAGCCGCUUGUGACUAUUGUUUUUUUGGAUUUUAGCCUUGUUGCUUCUGCUAUUGUAUUUGGAUACAUCUUCUUUCAUUUAGGGUCUCUGUUUUGCUGCUUUGUGGUUUUAGGGUCUUUGUUUCCCUUUCUUUAGGGCUUUGUUUCCGGGGAUGUUUUCGUUUUCCUCCGGCUUUGAUUCCGAGGAUUUUAACUUCGUCCGUCGGCUUUGGUUUCCUUUAUUUGGGCAUUGUGUACUUCCUUGGUUCCACAUCAAAUUAAUGAAUAUAAUUUCAGUUUAGUGACA
rnacentral:sRNA from 1 species